AGUUAAGGUACAUUUAGAAGUGAAGAAAAGACUUAGAGAGUUAUUUCAAUUCAGACUAUGAAACAAUAACAUCUCCUUCCAGAAUUGAUGCCUUUUAUUUCUUUCUAUUGUCCGAUGGCUGUGGCUAGGACUUCCAGUACUACGCUGAACAGCGGUGGGCAAGUGGGCACCGUUGUCUUGUUCCUGAUCCUGAAGAGAAGAAAGCUUUCAGCUUUUCCCCGUUGAGUAUGUUAGCUGUGGGUGUGUCAUAUAUGGCUCUUGUUAUGUUGAGCCACCUCCGUCCCUCCCAGCCUCAGCAGUCUCGAGUGAAGCUGCUGGCAACACCCCGGACAGGUUUCUGUGUGGAUGCAAGUUUCACAUCGCUUGGCUGUGUACCUGAAAAGUGAUUUCUGGGUCAUGUGGUCAUGUGAUAAGUCAUAUCACGACUUCUCUGUUAUCUGUUAACUACAAAUUCAGGAAAGCAGCAGUAGCAACAACAAAAUUUUAAGCAGUAUCACCAG